rnacentral:rRNA from 1 species
UUCAUUUAAAAUUUAGUUAGAAUUUUAUUUUUUAGUUAAAAAGCUAAAAUAUAUUCAAAAGACGAGAAGACCCUAUAAAUCUUGAUUAUUUAGUAAUUUUUAGUUUAUUUUGAUUUUUUUUAUUAUAAAUUUAUUAAUUAAUUUUAUUGGGGUGAUAUUAAAAUUUAAAUAACUUUUAAUAAUUUUUAUCAUUUAUUUAUGAUUAAGUGAUCCAUUAUUAGUGAUUAGAAAAUUAAGUUACUUUAGGGAUAACAGCGUAAUUUUUUUGGAGAGUUCUUAUCGAUAAAAAAGUUUGCGACCUCGAUGUUGGAUUAAGAUUCAUAUUUAAAUGUAGAAGUUUAAAUAUAAAGUCUGUUCGACUUUUUAUUCUUACAUGAUCUGAGUUCAAACCGGUGUAAGCCAGGUUGGUUUCUAUCUUUGAUUUGGUAAAAUAUUUUAGUACGAAAGGAAUUAAUAUUUAUUUUAAAAAAAUUAAUUUA